UGUGUCCUAUAAAUAGGACCUAUAUUGUAAUGUGAAUGACACACUUGUGAAGAGAAUAAUACAAAGUACUUUCAUCUUCUUCUUUCUCUUCUUAUUUGAUCUUAUGCUUUUAAUUUAUUUCUUAACAUGUUAUCAACACGAAGCUCGAUCAAUAGAGACAGGAGCAUCUGAUGCUUUGCAGUUAUAAUAUAUUUCUUUGAAGGAUUGCAUAUCGAAAGAAUUGUUCUUCGUUAUUAUGAAGAUCAUGUGUAAUAUAAUUCCUGAAGAAUUAAAUAUAUAUGAAGAACAAAUGAUUUGUUCCUGAAGGAUUGCAAACAAUCAAAUAUUUAUCAUUGUUUAUAAAAGUUUUGAGAUAUAUAUAGUUCUUGAAGAACUAAAAUUUAAUAUUAAAGCAUCCCUAAAGGAUUGCUCAAAGAAUGAUUUUUUUUCCCUUAUGAAGAUUUGAGAUAUAGUUCUACAAGAACUAAUAACUUAAUAUCAAGCAUUCGUGAAGGAUUGCAUAAUAAAACUAUUGUGAUUUCCUUUGUCAUUGUUGAUAGAGGUUUGUGUUUGAGUUCCUGAAGAACAAAACAUUUAAAACUUGAUCUUUAUAAGAUCUAUUUGAUCUAUAUAAAUAAAAGAGAGAAAAUAUGAGAGAAUAUGUAUAUUUCUAUGUCAUUUGAAAUGCUCCUGAAGUAGCAAAAUAAAUGAGUAUCUUCAAGAAUAUUUUUGAAAGAUUAGUCACAUUUGUAUUUGAACAAAGAGUGACUCUUGAUCAAAAUGGUGAAAGGUCACAUUGAACGUCAUUCCCAGAAGUGAAUAGUUCAUACUAUUAGUUUCAUAUAACCAAUGUUGUGGCUAUGGAAAUUAGUGUUUGAUCAAUGAUUUUCUUGAUACGAUCAUAUUUCUAUUAUAUGGAUUGAAACGUGCAAUAUUGUUUCCUUAUUCUACUAUCAAAGUUUGGUUAUGGUUUUCUUCUUUCUUAUUGCAUAAGACUUCUAGAAGGCCUGAAUUACAAGGUAAGCAAUCACAAACUCUUUUCUACAUAACUCUUAAAAACAUCUUCAAUGAAUUGACGUUCUCUUAUUUACUUAUAAUUCCUUCAAGAUUAUUAUAUGUUAGAUAUGUAUAUUUUCUUACGAAAUAAAUUUAUUCGAUUUUGAUCUUACAUAUAAUAUAAAAUUUGGAGAUGUCAAACUUGAAAAUAUGUCUUACUGACAAAUAUGUGAUGUCUAAAUUACUAAUGCGUAUGAUUUAUAAAGUUUUAUUUGUUGGAAAAAUUGUGUUUAAUUCUUUUUACAUUUGAUCUAUCUAUGAUAAUGCAAAAAAUGAUCCAAGACUUUAGAAUAUUUAUUAUACAAUUUCAUUUCAACAUAAUUAUUUUGUUGUUCGUUAGUUUCAAAUUGAUUAAAAUAAAUUAAUCAUAUAUUAUUGUAAACCAGAUGUUUACAAAUCAUGUUUCAAAAUGUCUACUCUUGAGUGUAUUAAACAAUCCCUGAAGGAUUGCUUAAAUAAUGAUUCAUUUUGAUCAUAUAUAUUUCCCGAAGAACUACAAGAUCAAUGAAGGCUCUUAAAGAGCUGUAAUAUUGUUACAUGAAGGAACAAAGUUACACAUUGAGAUUGAAUUAUAUUAAUCUAAGUCUCAUAAAAAUUCAUUGAGUUUUAAAAUAGCCAUCUAAAUGGAUAUCAUACUAAAAAAAAUGGAGAUAUUAAAUAUCUCUAUAUCUGAAGAAAAUAAGUGUAGUGGAAAAGUUAUUUUUAUCUUUGAUUUGACAGCGCUUAUAUAUUAUCCCGGAUCUAUUAUGAUGCAAAAACUAGAUAAUAAAAAAAAUGGAGAUUAUUAUGUCAACAAAUUUGACCAAGAGUUUAUUUUCUAAACUUUUCAGAAAUCAUUUGAUAAAUAUCAUUUGUCAAUUGAUAUUGAACAACUAGUAGCAUAUGCUCAUAAAAAUGGACUUGAAGAUCCAUUAUUUAGACGUCUAAUGUUAAUUGUAUAAUUGAUACUUAUCAUAUCAUGUCUUAUAAACUCUAGUUUGGUUAUGAGACCAUGUCUUAUAAACUCUAUUUUGAAAAUCAAUAAUCUUGUUGAGAUAUUGAUCUGCAUCAAGCCAACAAAUUACUAUAUAUAAGUCCCCCCUUAAUCUAUCAUUGGUUUCAGGUUAACAACCUAAUAUUUCUCAUCCAAGUGAAAUUUGGAUGUGUUGUGUAUAUCACAAUUGCUCCAAUAUAAUGCACUAAGAUAAAUAUUGAAAGAAUAUUGGAAAAAUAUAUUUGAUAUGAAUCUCCAUCUAUCAUUAAUUGUGCUGAUUCAACUUAUUUACAGUCCAGUAGGCUGAUUAUCAAUUGAUGGAUUAUUUUUUCCAAGGGGAUAUAAUAAGCAGCUGAGAAUGUGAACUUGAAGUUCAAAUAAAUUAUUUGAAAGGAAAUAUUAUUGUCUCAUCUUGAUCCUCACGAUAUAACUCAUUUGCAAAGUUAAAUAAAUCGAAUAUCAGCUGUUAAUGCUCCAAAUGAAAUAGAUGUCCUUGUCGGAUAAUCUAAUAUGCAAAUGAGUCUCAAUCGUGCAUGAAGCAUGAUAGAUCAAUUGGUUCCAAAUAUAAAAAUCCUUGAAUAAGAAAAGAAGCUUAAAGGAAAGAUAACCCAAACAAGGAUAUAGAAACUCUAAAAGAGUUUUCUGACAUAAUUUAUUUUUCAGUUCCAAAUAAACUAAUCAGGUACCUGAAACUUAUCAAAUAUUAUGUCAUGAAUGAAAAUCUCAAUGGAAUGAGAUGGAAUCGAAAUAAAGUCAACGUCGACGUGUUUUUAAAAAUAAUAUAGCGCUAUAUGUGACAAGUGAUAAUGAGGAUCAUGAAUUCAAGUCUAUUAAAGAUAAAAUAUCUGCAGAUGGAAAGAGACAAUUUCAGUAAAAUCAAACUCGCUUUGUAAAGCUGAAUCUUUUGGACCUGUAGUCCGCAUCGAAGAUGUGAAGUUAAUUAGACAUGUAUGAUUUUUCACGUGAAAAGAGAAUUAAAAUGGUAAAAUAAAUAUAUAUAGAGUUUGAUAUGUUCACCUGAAGUGAAUAGAAAUAUCUACCAUUUAUUUUUAAGAGACAUAUAUUCUUUAAAGAUAAAUUUACCUGAAGUGAAUUCAAGAACUUUUUCAUACUUGAUUAAGUUCAUAGAACAUGAAAGGCUCAAAUUAUAUGAAAGAUGUGUUACAAUUUAUUUAUAUGACUCACUUGAUAGUGAUAUAUGAAACCUCCUGAAGAAUUUCAUUUGCAUAAUACAAACCAUCAAAAUUAUUGAAAA